UCCACACUCUCUAUUACCUCAUUUGAAUGCAUAGUUUUUUCAUUGGCUAGUCCUCAACCUCUUCAAAUGAUUUUACUCAACUGUCCUCACAAAUGUCAUCAUCCACACUCAUGUUUGGUGAUUUCAACAUCCAUGUCGAUUCCAGAAGUUGUGCUUUUGCUGCUGAUUUUAUGGCUCUCUUGGACUGAUCAUCAUAAUCAAUAUUCAAUUUCCAACAAAUGUAUCCAUCCCACUCACAAAGCUCCAUUUAGAGUGAAUUUACGAUAAACUUUGGUUGUCCAACAGAGGAUUAUUUGGGAUCGAACUUUGGUUGUCAAACAGGCAAAAGAUUCCACCAAAACAUAACAGCAACCCCGGCAAUUGGUUAUAGGCGAGGGUAAUUAAGACGUAGUUGAAAUAGUACUGUGCUUCCCAAGCUUGAACCGCUAAUCGCUUGUUGACGCUACGUAUCUAUUUGAAACUAAUGGGCUAAUGAGCUGGGCAUGAACUUUAGCAAGGAGAGCUUUGUAUUCUUUGUUACCACUUGCUAUUGGAGAAAAUAAAUGCUAUGUAAUGCUACGUUGGUUGCAAUGUGGGGAAUUGAGUAACACAUUAAAAAUAUAUUAACUACUAAGGGAUUACAAAAAUUAAACAACUAACGCGUUAUAUUUCUCGUUAACAAUAAAAAGUAGUUUGAUUACUACUUUGUAACGCAUUACCCCCAACAAUGAACAUAAGCCACUUCUUUGUUCUUACAAUGCUGUGGCUGCACUCCUCAUUGAGUGUCUCUAUGAAAUUAUGUGUGAUUAUUUUAGGUUCCCCCAUUCAGAGAUGAUUCUGGACUGGUUUUGGGCCGAUCCCAGAUUCCUGACCCUAGACCUGGCCCCAUAAUCUCCUUUCAUUAUGGAAGUGGAAGGUAUUCGAGUGCCAUCCCCAUGAGCAUAUCACCCUACUAAAGCCCAUGGAUAAGCCAUGUCAUCACUGGUAACCAAUAAUUUACAAGUAUGAUCUGUAUGACUGAAAAAAACGAUAGUAGCCACAAAUGGUAACCAAAUAAGAUGGGGUAUGAACACUGGUGAUGUCUUUCAAUAUGGAACAGGUUAAACAGCUAGGCAGAAGAGUAAGUCAUAGAGCCCCUGGACAGGGUCAAAACUCUAAACUUAGCUGCUGUGAACCAUCCCAACCAUAUCUUUGUUGAUAAAGCAUGCAUCUACCGGGCCAAAACUUGACAGUGUUGUGCGCAAUGUCACUGGCCAAUGAACAACUGUCCUGGUGUCUGGACAAUGUUGGAGAAACAUAUUUGUGAGUGCAGCCAUAUCCACAGAUGGGGUCGUAGGACAUUAGCCACUUCUAGGGUCUUACAACGCUCCGGCUACACACUUCAUUGAGCUCCUUAAUUAAUUUGUUUGUGAUAAUGUAAGCUUCCACCAUACAGAGGUGAUUAAGGACUGGUUUUGGGACAAUCCUAUAUUCCUGACCCUAGAUCUGGCCCCAUAAUCUCCUUUUAAUUAUGGAAGUGGAAGGUCUAUGAUCACCAUCCCCAUGAACAUGCCACCCACCUACAGCACAUGGAUAAACCAUGUAAUCACUGGUGAGCAAUGUUAUGUUUGGAUUUGCCGUGCCAAAAGAUCUUACCCACAGUCCAUGAAAAAUUAAGAUUUACAUUGUGACAUGGACAAGAUAUCAUGGCCAAAUGACAAAGAUAAAAUUGACAUACAGUAGUGUGUAAAUCAUUGACAUUCCUUUCAUUUUAUUGUGUAUUUGUUAAAAUGUGAUUUGAAAAUAAACCCAUUUUCCAGUAAAAGUUUUAGUUUUAUUGCUUCAAUGAUUCUGGAAGAUCUUUGCAUUGAUCAAACAUUUAAAUGUGGGAUAGACAUUAUGAAAAUGAUUUAUGGACAAUUGUGAUGGGUAAUGUAGAGUUAAAGUUUUGCCUAAUGUGAAAACAGUUAAAUAAACUGUAACAGAUUACCUUUAGCACUUCGAAGAGUUAUUUUGAACCACAUGUCUUAAAUUGUUUUGUCUUAAACUGACUGAUUAUGAUUUCAUAAUUACUUUUUACAAUAUUCACCAUCCCCCCUUUUGAAGUGUGAUCUUUACCAUGAGAGAGCACCGCAUAGAAAUGAAACAGACAUUUCGGCAAGCAGGGGUUACCAUUAGGACCGAUCCAAACAGUAGUCACAUAGGAUGCCCCUGCUUUCUUCCAAUUGGUCCUCUCUUUAGGUGAAGCCUGAGAUUGCACUUCAACAAGAUCAGAGAGGGAAACUGUGGGGGUCAGAUGGGACAUCUGCAAAGCAGAAUGAGGGGGGGCCUGAGCGGCGGCUUUAGCAGCUGCAUCUGCCCUGCGAUUACCAAGAGAAACAAAAUCUCUGCCUGUAGUAUGGGCCUCACAUUUACAAAUGGCCACUUCCUUAGGUAACAAGACAGCUUCCAAAAGGUUACAAAUAAGGUGGCCAUGUUGUAAUAAACCCCCUCAUUAAUCAGUGUUGGGAAGCGUAAUAAACCCCCUCAUUUUCCAAAAGUCAUGUACAACACCAAAAGCAUAUCUACUGUCAGUGUAAAUGGUAACACUUUGACCCUUAGCAAGGAUGCAAACUUGAGUGAGAGCAAAGAGCUCCGCAGCCUGAACGGAAAGAUGGUGUGGCAGUCUGUGACCCUCAACCACAUCAUGAUCAGUCACAAUGGCAUAACCGACAUUAUUAACAGGGGAAGUAGGAGAUUUACUAGCAGACCCAUCAACAUAAAAAACAAGAUCACUAUUCGGUAGAGGUUCAUCAGACAAGUCAUCAUGAGGGGUACACUGUUGGUUAAUAACAGAAAGGCAGUCAUGCGGUUCGCCAUCUACCUCCGUGGGAAGGAAAGUGGCAGGGUUCAAAACAGGACUCCAUACAACAGUGACAUGGGAUAAUGACAGUAAAACGUUAUGGUAAUGCAGAAACCUAGCACCUGAGAGAUGACUAGUCUUGUCUUCCAACAAAAUAGAGGCAACAGAGUG
ensembl:lncRNA